UACGAAGGGGGCUAGCGUUGCUCGGAAUUACUGGGCGUAAAGCGCACGUAGGCGGUCUUUUAAGUCGGGGGUGAAAUCCUGGAGCUCAACUCCAGAACUGCCUUCGAUACUGGAAGACUUGAGUCCGGGAGAGGUGUGUGGAACUGCGAGUGUAGAGGUGAAAUUCGUAGAUAUUCGCAAGAACACCAGUGGCGAAGGCGGCUCACUGGCCCGGUACUGACGCUGAGGUGCGAAAGCGUGGGGAGCAAACAGG
rnacentral:rRNA from 1 species